GCUGAUGUGGCUCAGUCGGUAGAGCGUCGCCUUGGUAAGGCGGA
rnacentral:tRNA from 1 species